UACGUAGGGUGCGAGCGUUGUCCGGAAUUAUUGGGCGUAAAGAGCCCGUAGGCGGUUUGUCGCGUCUGCUGUGAAAACCCGAGGCUCAACCUCGGGCCUGCAGUGGGUACGGGCAGACUAGAGUGCGGUAGGGGAGAUUGGAAUUCCUGGUGUAGCGGUGGAAUGCGCAGAUAUCAGGAGGAACACCGAUGGCGAAGGCAGAUCUCUGGGCCGUAACUGACGCUGAGGAGCGAAAGCGUGGGGAGCGAACAGG
rnacentral:rRNA from 1 species